AUUGAACGCUGGCGGCAUGCCUUACACAUGCAAGUCGAACGGUAACAGGUCUUCGGAUGCUGACGAGUGGCGAACGGGUGAGUAAUACAUCGGAACGUGCCUAGUAGUGGGGGAUAACUACUCGAAAGAGUGGCUAAUACCGCAUGAGAUCUACGGAUGAAAGCAGGGGAUCGCAAGACCUUGUGCUAAUAGAGGGGCCGGUGGCAGAUUAGGUAGUUGGUGGGUUAAAAGCUUACCAAGCCGACGAUCUGUAGCUGGUCUGAGAGGACGAUCAGCCACACUGGGACUGAGACACGGCCCAGACUCCUACGGGAGGCAGCAGUGGGGAAUUUUGGACAAUGGGCGAAAGCCUGAUCCAGCAAUGCCGCGUGCAGGAUGAAGGCCUUCGGGUUGUAAACUGCUUUUGUACGGAACGAAAAGCCCCGGGUUAAUACCCUGGGGUCAUGACGGUACCGUAAGAAUAAGCACCGGCUAACUACGUGCCAGCCGCCGCUGUAA
rnacentral:rRNA from 1 species